AGUGAACGCUGGCGGCAGGCCUAACACAUGCAAGUCGAACGGCAGCACAGUAAGAGUUUGCUCUUACGGGUGGCGAGUGGCGGACGGGUGAGGAAUACAUCGGAAUCUACUUUUUCGUGGGGGAUAACGUAGGGAAACUUACGCUAAUACCGCAUACGACCUACGGGUGAAAGCAGGGGAUCUUCGGACCUUGCGCGAUUGAAUGAGCCGAUGUCGGAUUAGCUAGUUGGCGGGGUAAAGGCCCACCAAGGCGACGAUCCGUAGCUGGUCUGAGAGGAUGAUCAGCCACACUGGAACUGAGACACGGUCCAGACUCCUACGGGAGGCAGCAGUGGGGAAUAUUGGACAAUGGGCGCAAGCCUGAUCCAGCCAUACCGCGUGGGUGAAGAAGGCCUUCGGGUUGUAAAGCCCUUUUGUUGGGAAAGAAAAGCAGCAGGUUAAUACCCCGCUGUUCUGACGGUACCCAAAGAAUAAGCACCGGCUAACUUCGUG
rnacentral:rRNA from 1 species